UUGGGAAUAUUGCACAAUGGGCGCAAGCCUGAUGCAGCCAUGCCGCGUGUAUGAAGAAGGCCUUCGGGUUGUAAAGUACUUUCAGCGGGGAGGAAGGGAGUAAAGUUAAUACCUUUGCUCAUUGACGUUACCCGCAGAAGAAGCACCGGCUAACUCCGUGCCAGCAGCCGCGGUAAUACGGAGGGUGCAAGCGUUAAUCGGAAUUACUGGGCGUAAAGCGCACGCAGGCGGUUUGUUAAGUCAGAUGUGAAAUCCCCGGGCUCAACCUGGGAACUGCAUCUGAUACUGGCAAGCUUGAGUCUCGUAGAGGGGGGUAGAAUUCCAGGUGUAGCGGUGAAAUGCGUAGAGAUCUGGAGGAAUACCGGUGGCGAAGGCGGCCCCCUGGACGAAGACUGACGCUCAGGUGCGAAAGCGUGGGGAGCAAACAGG
rnacentral:rRNA from 1 species